GGGAGCUUAGCUCAGCUGGUUUAGAGCAUCUGCCUUACAAGCAGAGGGUCGGCGGUUCGAGCCCGUCAGCUCCCA
rnacentral:tRNA from 1 species